GUCUGGUGGAAGUAGUUCUCAGCUCUUUUGGAAAUCCAUGUCCUAGGGGUAGAUGGUGCUUCCUGUGAGUAAGUCGAGGCUUGGAUCUGAUUUUAAACGCGGUCUGUCUUGCAGUGUAGAUGGGAAUGUAGUGUUUCAGUUCUGUCCUUAGAUCCCAUGCCUUGAGCUCAUGCUAAUUUUAGAGAUGUUAGGAAGUAUUUUCACAGUGUGAUUUCAGUCAGCUUCUCUGCUCCACAGUACUUCCUCAGGCACCAGUAGUGGUCUGGAUCACUUUCAUAUUGCCUUAUUUACUGAGCACUUUUGAAAGCAUCAGACAGCUGUACCAAAAGCCAAGUUAGGAAUUCCUGGAGCUACGGUUCUGGGUGGCAGUCGGAUUUCCCUUCUGCUGGAGUGUUUUGUGGUAGCACACUGGGUCUGUCUGCUGCAAAACAGCUAACAGGAGCUGUCUGACUUCUCCAGCUAAACAUUCCCUAAGGUGUUAAGCAGUGCUUUUCUGGGGAAGCCCAGAUGCAUCAUCCAAAGAUGAUGUCCCCAUCUCCUUGUUGGCAUUUUCUACGUGAGAUGCCAUCUCCCAAAGAGUGUUCUGCCAUCAGUGGUUCAUAGGAAGCCUGGUCCGAUGGGAUUGAUACGAGAGCAAAAGCUUUGCAGGGCUUUCUUUCCUUACUUUCCCAUCAGUCAGGUGUGAACCUGCCUGGAAAUCCAUCUUGCUGGUGUAAAUCUUGGAGCCACACUGCUGUAACCCUUGGGCUUGGCUAGGUUAGGGUGUUAACAAGCAGAUUAAUGGUAGUUAGCCUUCUACUAGCACAAGUCCGUGCAUUGCUAAAACUAACCCCUGCAUGUGCUUGCUCUCUGCCCUGAGUUUCUCUCCCUUCCCUACUCAGGACAGGGUGCCAGCAUGGUCUCUGGUUCGCAGCCAGUACCAAGGUGGUGAAGCUGGCUCGUGCUCCUCCGGGAAUGGCUACAGCUCCUCAAGUAGGUGAGACUCUGCCUCAGGUUAGGCACCGUGCUGGUGAGUGCGAGGAGCUGGUGCCCUGCUCUUGGCAUCCUGCCACUGUUUUCUCUCCCGCUCUCCCAACGAGGUCGUUCUUUCUACCUCUUGUCAUAUUACUUGCCUGUUUGAAUCCCUCUCUCCCUCUCCAACAGCUUUCGUCUCUCCUUCUCCCUCGCUUCAGCAAAUCAGAUGUACUUUUUGGCAAGAACACGAGCCACUGCUCUGUCCAGUUCAGUCCACUUCAGCUCUGCCUAGUUUUUGUCCGUGUUUCUUUCCUAGAAUAAAUAGCAAGGGAUACGCAGUGAGUGUUUGCAAAGCUGCUUUCUCAUUGUUUGAAGCAUUAGCAGAGCUGCUUUCUCCUCCUUGUGCCUCUAGCCUCGGGGCAGAGUAGUGGGAAGGCUGAGACUAUGGAGCUCUGAUGCCUAAUGGGACCUGUUUUGAGGAAUCUCAAGGUUUGGUACAUGCUACAGGAGCGAGGCCAUUCCCACCCUCAGCAGGGAUUUCCCCUCCCCAUACACACUGUGGCACCAGCAAGAGUUUGGCAGAACCAUGAACUUGCCUGUUCCUAUCCCACUGGAAAACCUGGGUUGGGGGACAUUGGAAUGCAGAAAACGCUGCUUCAUGGUGGUGUUAACCCUUUGGUCUUGGGGGUUAGAGGAACCUGAUGAAAUAUGCUCUGUCUUUUGCUUGGCAAAGCGAUACCCAUCUGCCUCCUGUUUUGCAAUCAGGCAUGGUUUAUAACACCAUUAUUCCGUUGCCUGGAGUAGGAUGUUUAGACAUCUGUAUUCAUACAAGCGGGUCAGAAGGCCUGAUGCAAAUGCUAGCAGUUAUAAUCAGCGCUAGGAAAGGUCACCCACAGGUAAUAAAGAUAGCACCACAAAUAAUGCUAAAGAGCUAAAAACUCCUUCCACCCUCGACUUCCCAAUUCCGGGCCAGUGCUCGAUACCUCUCCUACAAAUCCUCUUCUGGUGAGUGAGAAUUUCCGCUGCUUCUGCACUCCAGGCAGGAUUCACCAGAUGUUAAUAAUGUGCUUAUUUUCUCUAAGUGCUAUUUUGGCAUCGGUGUUAAUUACAAUUUAUAUUCUGCAACAUUUACACUGGGAAAAGAACCCACCCUAAUAGUCCCCAAUUGGCAGAGCCGGGCUAUUAAACAUCACACCAUAUGUUCUGAGCAGAGCAAUAUAUGGGACUCGGAGCCCACUCAGCGCUGAGACUCUGGUGUGCAGCAUCAGAGGAGGAGAGGAGAGCAGAGAGAUGGGUGGUUUGUUCCUAGCUUUGACUAAUAUGAAAUUCCCCCUCCUUUUCUCUGGUCUCUGUCCCUAUCUCUCUCGAAAUCUCCCUCCCUGCUAUCUAUAGGCAUCUAAUGAGGUGACCUCUGAGCCUGCUGAUGCCACUGUCCAUACUCUAAAAUAAAUGAAUUCAAUUACAGAAGGUGCCCUUCUCACAGGGAGCACCUCUGCAGGAUUCCCACUCCCUGCUGGCGUGUGUCUUGCUGUGCUCCAAAUCAGACCUCUGAUCUUUGAGGAAUGCAGAAGAAAUCUUUGCUUUGACCACAAACGAGGUACCCACGUUUCUUUGGGAGAAGGAUAUUCUAGGUCAAGUGCCAUUAGUGUGGAAAAUCAGAAGUUGUUUGCUGCUCUGCUAAAAUCCAAAGUCUUCUUCAGCAAAGUGGCAUUUGGUUACUGCAGGAUGGGAGGAUCCAGACCCGAAGAGUGACAGUGGUUUUGGUGUGGGGAGUUUGGUGGGGCUGAGUUGUCAGGAUUUGGUGUGUUUCUCAGGACUGUAGGUUAAAGGAUUGCUCCUCACUGUUCUCCAAAGCUGAUUUCAUGGUCUCUCUAGGAAAUGGCAGUGUACCCACUGCUCAGUUUGGAAAGGAGCUGUGUGGCAGCAGCGUCUACCUUCAGGAGAGCUUGGACUGCACUCACUUGUCUGUUGAGGAGGUGGUUGGGCAGGCAGAGGAGAGAUGGGAGUGGAGGAGACAGGGCAGGACAGUGUCAUGGACUUCAGGCUGGACACCAGACACACGCCAUGAGACUCUGCCUCAGCUUCCCCACUUGCAGGGCUGGGGCUGCUGAUGCAGGCUGAUGGGUGGCAGAGCAGCGACCCUGCUCGCUUGAAUCCACAUGGCUACCUCCUUCCUCCUCUGCCCAGGCCUGCUCCCAGGGAACAGAGCAGGGUCCAUCCCUUCCCCUUGCUGAUAUUCAGAGGCAUGAAAGCCCUGGGACGACGUACAGGAACGGGACUGUGCAUUGUGAGGUGCUGGGUGCUUUCUUUCAGCAUCCCUUUUUCAGGAUGGGGUAUUCCCUGUGGCCACAGGAACGUGGGGCUUUUCCUUUUGGGAGUUAACCAGUGCAGAGGAGUCGUUUUAUCUGCUUAAAGGAGAUGCAGUCCCCUUCGGCUGGUCCCAGCAGAGAGUGUCCAGCCAAAGCUCCUCUCUCCUGGCUGCAGGAGCCCAGUGCAGGGAGCAGGGAGCCACGUCGGGUAUUGCGGGGGCACAUCUUCCUUGCAGCUCUCCUGCCUCUCUGAUUAGAUGUGCAGGCAGCCAGGGUACUCCAGCAGGAGAAUCAUUUCCAUAGAAACCAAUUGGGAUGUUGUACAGGGAAUAAUGAUUAAUAGUGAAGGGAUGUUGCCUCAGGCCCUUUUCAUUUUUUAGGGGGCAGUCAGGGACAAACUGGAGCACAGGUUGGAGGGGGACAGGCAGGCUCAAAAACUAAUGGAAACCAUCUCUUCCAUUAAUUUCCAGGGCAGUUUCCCCUCUUUUCCUCCUCACUGCUGCUUCCCAAUUUUCAAAAUGGCUAACCUGGUUAGAAAUAAUGGUUAGAAUAAAAAAAGGAUGGAUGAGGUCUGCCUACUAACAUUGUUGCUGUUAGCAGCAGGAUUUCAGCCAUAAAACAUGAAGCAAGGGAGGCAUUGACCUUUCCGCUGGUUGAAAUGAAUGGAGACAUCAAUAUGUAUUGUUUCGUGGCAUUGACCUCUGACGCUCUCCUUUUGCCCUCCCCUUUCUCUUGUUUCUUUCAUUCCCCCCCCGACACCGGAGGAAAGGGGUCAGUUUGUACCAUCUAUUGAUCCCCAUCUGACUUGGUGAUAGGGAAAUAAUUAGAAUCUUAAAGAUCUCUGCUGCAUGUGUUGGUGUGAGACACGCAGACGCACACACUAAGCCCCCACUUCCUCCAUCACAUUCUGCCCCCCCCAUCCUCACAGAGAUCCAAAGCUCUGCGAUCUGAAGGGAGGCAGAUCAAUACAGGUUUAAUCAUGAUGGGGGGGUUUAUUUCAGUGUUUUCAAUGGUAAAGUGUAACGUUUUAUGUUAAUGUUGUCGGAGCCUGGCUGCCUGGUGCCUUGGUUUAUUUAUUCUUUCAAGUAGCCCCUUCUUUUGUGCACUUCAUCUAUGUACAGAGAAUGGGAAAUCAGGCAUUGCUAAUUAGCUGUAUGACAAUUAAGUAAUGUAGCACAAAACCAUUAGGACACUGGAUUUGGUUUUGAAGUUGGCCCUUUGAAGUAGAAGCUGUAACUCCCUGCCCAAGGCUGCUGGGGAAAAUGGUUUUCUAUCAAAAACUUUCUUUGAAAAGAAAAUGUCAGUGUAAGAGUCCCUAUUUCUGUCCUCUCUCCCUAUAAACAGCGGGUGGAAAUUGUUUCUCGUUGUAAAAACUGCUGGCAUUGGUGGAAAGGGGAAUGCAGGAAAGCAUUAAAUGGGCAGUUGGUCUCCAAACACCCUUGGUUCUGGCAGAGAUGGUACCAAAACUGCUUGUUUAGCUUAUUGAAAGGGAACGGUGCUGCUUUGGGAGACAAGAGCCGGGUCACAACCAGCGCCCUGGACAUGGCAAAGGGAGGUGCCCAUCAAAAGCGGGUUCUCUGAUGCCUCGGGUGCCAUUGGGAUGCGGCACAGCCUGGUCACAAGUACCAACAAGCUCCUGGGUUCAGGCUCCUCCAUCCAUGCGCUCGUUUGACACUUGGUUUUUUUUGCAUCUGGCCCUUUGUUCUAGUAGUGAGUCGAAUUCUGAAUGUGCAACUUUCAUGUACGCUGGUGGCAUGUAAAACUUCAAAUAAAGAGUGAAACCGAGUUGGAA
rnacentral:lncRNA from 1 species